UACGUAGGGGGCGAGCGUUGUCCGGAGUUACUGGGCGUAAAGGGCAUGCAGGCGGUCGGACGCGUUUUGUGUGACAGCGGGUGGCUCAACUACGCGAGCAUACGAAAGACGGUUUGACUUGAGGGCUCGAGAGGGACACGGAAUUCCGGGUGGAGUGGUGAAAUGCGUAGAGAUCCGGAGGGACACCGAAGGCGAAGGCAGUGUCCUGGCGAGUGACUGACGCUGAGGUGCGAAAGCCAGGGGAGCGAACGGG
rnacentral:rRNA from 1 species